rnacentral:lncRNA from 10 species
GGAAGCUGGAGCCAGGGGAGACUGGCAGGAAAGGAUCACGUGGGCCAGCGAGAGGAGAGCCUGGACAGGGGCCAGCAAAGGGCGAACUUCUGCAGACGAGGACUAUCCAGCCCUAGGGGUACGGGAGAGGGAAAGACGAGGCCGAGAGGGACCCUGACUUUGCAGCAGGGUGUCUGGGCAUUGGUGGCUCCACCUGCAGAACCAAAAGAAUCCACCAGGUCUGAUGGGCAAAGGUUCCUCCUCCCCUGCUGCAGCUAACAUGGAGGACUUGCAUGGAGAUGGUGGAGUCACAGGAUGAACACAGGCUAAGUCACUACCUGGAGGACAGCUGCCUGGACAGUCACCUGGAUCGCAGUGGACUGCAUGAAUGAAAACAAAUUUGUUCCCAGGUUCUUGGGGCUUGAAAAGAUCCCUUUAUGGAGUGAAGCCACUUUUUCUCAACGUUCUGAAACUCACGCUGCUCCAGCCUGAGGCUUCCAGAAGUGCCCUACAGAACAGCAACCAAGAAGACUACAUUUCCCAGACUCCUGCGCAGCUUAGUGUGGCCAUCUGGCCAAAUUCUGGUCAGAAGGUGGAAGUGUUAAGUACAGCAUGGAUCUUUCAGGAAGGCUUUCUUUAAGAGAGUUGAAUCAGGUGUGAGGUAUGCUCUUUUUUUCCUGUCUGUUUCUCUUUCCUUCUGCUUCGAGCAUGGACAUAAUGCUGGAGCUUCAGCAGCCAUCUUAGACCAUAAGGUGACUUUCAAGAGGAAAGCCACAUGCUGAAGGAAGAUGGCACAGGAGGAAGAUAGGAGCCUAGGCCACUGAGGACAGAGGGAGCAGUGCUUUAAUACCUACCUCUAGACUUCCUUUAUGUGACAGAGAAGUAAACUGAUCUUCUUUAAGUUAAAGUUAUGUUGAGUUUUUAGUUAUAUGAGAACAAAUCUAGGUCGGGUGCUGUGGCUCACGCCUCUAAUCCCAGCACUUUGGGAGGCUGAGGCAGGCAGAUCACUUGAGGUCAGGAGUUCGAGACCAGCCUGGCCAACAUGGUGAAACCCCAAUCUCAACUCAAAAUUAGCCAGGCAUGGUGGCGUGCGCCAGAAAUCCCACUAUUCGAUAGGAUGAGGCAGGAGAACUGCUUGAACCUGGGAGGUGUAGGUUGCAGUGCGCUGAAAUCACGCCAUUGCACUCCAGCCUGGGUGGCAGAACAAGACUCCAUCUCAAAAAAAAAAAAAAAAAAAGAAAAAAAGAAAGAAAGAAAAGAAAACAAAUCUAACCCUAAAUGUUAUGUUAGGGUAAAAUUGAUUUUUUAAAAAAGUCAUUUUUCAAACUCUGUUAGCACCUUUUUACCCAUGUUAGUCCAUCUGCUAAAAUGAACAUCAGUAUUUGAAAAGGUGUACAUCAAGCUUGUCCAACCCGUGGCCCACAGGCUGCAUGUGGCCCAGGAUGGCUUUGAAUGUGGCCUAACACAAAUUCGUGAACUUUCUUAAAACAUUAUGAGAUUUUGUGUGUGUGUGUGUGUGUGUGUGUGUGUGUGUGUGUUAGCUCAUCAGCUAUCAUAGUGUUAGAGUAUUUUAUGUGUGGCCCAAGACAAUUCUUCUUCUUUCAAUGUGACCCAGGGAAACCAAAAGGUUGGAUACCCCUGGACUGUACCUAAUUAUUUCUUGUGCUCAGCAAGGUUAAGCAACUUGCCUAAAGUCACCCAG